GGUCCAUAGCUUAGUGGUAGAGUGAGUGCCUUGCAUGCAGAAAGUGCCAGGUUCAAUCCCUGACAUCUCCA